AGAGAGAGAGAGAGAGAGAGAGAGAGAGAGAGAGAGAGAGAGAGAGGACGAUGAAUAAGAAGAAGAAAGAAGAAGGAAAAUCGAGAGGAAGAAGAAGAAGAAAUUGGGGAAAAACCCUUCUUAGAAGAGAUUGAAACUCUAGGAGGGAGUUUGUGUGAAAGCUUGGAGUUGAGGUGAGUGAUUUAAUACCUAAAUUACAUGAUUUUGAACUUGUUUUCUUUAAAGAACUUAUUUGAACAAAUUUUAUGAAUUGUGUACUCCAUGGAAUAGCAAUGGAAGGUGGACCUAUUUGUGAAAUAUUUGCGAAUCUAUUUAAUGGCAUUCCCAACGUCCGGUCUUGCUAGGGGACGGCUUAAUGGCUAGCAAGGGUGUUUGAGGUUGGUAUGUGCUUUGGGAUAAUGCGUAGACGUCUGGCUUAUCCACUACCGGGGACGCCUGGUAGCUUUGAAUUUUGAAUAGUGGAAUGUGCAUUAUAUUUGGCUUAUGGAUUUGAGUUCUUUGUUUUGAAAUACUAUCAAAUUAUUUUGCAUUGUCCAUGGAGAGCAUGUAAAUUACGUAUUUGUCACUCAUACGAGCGUUAGCUUAUGUGUUUUCUCCACCUUUCAGGAAUUGAAGAAUUGGAUGGCGUGACACUUGUUUUGUGGAGUCAGGUAUUAUUGUUAUUUUAUAGACAAGAGAUGUGUUUAGAUUACUUGUUAAAUUCUGUAACCAUUGUAAGUAACUUGCUAAACCUCAUAAUUAAGCACAGCUCUGAGGUGUGUUUUGGGUAUCCUUAGCCUUUGUCAGUGUAAGUUGUCGUUUUACUAGAUUGCACAGAAUAUGCUUCCGCUAGUUUCGCACUCUUGUUCCUUCAGAUUAUAUAAUUUUGAGAAGUUGAAUCUA